rnacentral:lncRNA from 10 species
AUGCUGAAAGAGGUUGGUGACACCUUCAGGUGAAGGCUUUCAACAUUCACUGUAUUCAUAAGGGCUUUUUCCAGUGUGGCAGAUCUGCUUUUGAGAUUCAGCUCUAUCAUCACCUAACUCUCUGACCCAAAGGUGUUGUGUCUUCAAGAAGAUUGAUGGAAAAAAAUGGAGACUGUCACAGGUACUCUUAAAUACACACCUCUGCUGAUAAUUUUGAGAUCACACAAUUGGACUGCAUAAGAAUUUCAAAAACUUCAGUGAAAAAAGGGGACUCAUAAAAUUGCUAACCAAUAUCAAGCAGAGCAAGAAUUAAUUACAUGAGACUAAAGUAAUAAAGGACUGAAAUUGUUGUUAUUACUGUUUUUUAGACAGGGUCUUACUCUGUCACCCAGGCUGGAGUACAGUGGCAUGAUCGGCUCACUGCAGCUUCGACCUCCUGGGCUCAAGUGAUCCUCCCACCUCAGCUUCUAGAGCAGCUGGGACCACAGGCAUGUACCACCAUGACUGGCUAAUUUUUUAUUUUUAGUACAGGCAAGGUCUCGCUAUGUUGCCCAGGCUGGUCUCAAACUCCUGGGCUCAAGCAAUCCUCCUGCCUCAGCCUCCCAAAGUGCUGUGAUUAUAGGCAUAAGCCACUGCACCCAGCUGAAAUAAUUUUUCUAUAACUUUUCUGCUUGAAAUAUUGCUGGUUCUUUCAUUUAUUUAUUUAUUUGAGACAUGGUCUCACUCUGUCACCCAGGCUGGAGUGCAGUGGUAUGAACACAGCUCACUGCAGCCUCUAACUCUUGGGCUCAAGCAAUUCUCCCACCGCAGCCUCUCACAGGCAUGCACCACCAUGGCCAGCUAUAUUUUAUUGUUUUGUGUAGAGAUAAGGCCCCACUAUGCUCCCCAGGCUGGUCUUGAUCUCCCGGGCUUACGCAAUUCUCCUGUCUCAGCCUCCCAAAGUGCUGAGAUUACAGGUUUGCCUCCCUUUUCCAUGGUGUUGCACUGGGCACACUUCUGAACAAAAAUCUUCUUGCCUUUCUAAACAUCACCCGUAUUUAAUUCUAUUUUUUUUCACUGGUGCCACAAAGGUUUCUACUCAGAAGUUGGAUGUCCCACUCAAGCAUUGCUGAUUCUUAUGUUUUGUUUUCCAUUGUCAGUAAACUUUUUUUAUCUUAAGCUGUUUGUAGCUUACAGCAAUUAGGUAAAGUAUACUUUUGUGAGCAAAAUUAAAACAUUUACCUUUUUCUGUAUCUGAUUUCAUCAGAAUUCAAAAACUAUUCAUACAAGUUGGCAAUGUAGUUAUUUACAUAAGUUUAAUAAGAAUGUGUUUUCUUCUGUGACAGGACACAAUCAGAGACACUGGUUAUUUUACCAAGGCUUUGACUGGAAUGUCGUAUUUUCAGAUGUGACCAGAUUGCUUUGAGGAAUCAAGGUUGAUGUUAAAGCCAGUAGAUCUGGGAAAAGAUUGGCCUAGUACCUUGUCUACACUGUUCCCUUGCAGGGUUCCUGAUUUUAUAGUAAGUAAAGAGUGUUACUUUCUGACAGGCCCAAGAAACUCAAGAUAUUUGGGGAACCUCAAGAAGAGAGAAAUUCACUGAAUUCAUGUAGGUAUUACAGGCCCAUUCUAGUGGCCAAUCUUUAGCUUGGCUUCCCAGCCUUUAAAAGUCUAAUCUGAGAUUCUUUAUUAAAAACUUCCAGCAGGCUGGGCAAGGUGGCUGAUACAGUUUGGAUUUGUGUCCUUCCCUGAAUCUCAUGUCAAAUUGUAGUCCCCAAUAUUGGAGGUGGGGACUGGUGGGAGGUGAUUGGAUCAUGAGUGCAGAUUUCCCCAUUGGUGCUGUUCUCGUGAUAGUGAGUGAGUUCUCAUGACAUCUGGUUGUUUAAAAGUGUGUGGCACCUCCCCCAUCUCUCUCUUCCUCCUGCGUCACCCAUGUAUAGUACUGGCUCCUCCUUCACCUUCUGUCAUGAUUGUAAGCUUCCUGAGGCCUCCCCAGAAACAGAUGUGCCAUGCUUCCUUACAGCCAGUAGAAUUGUGAGCCAAUUAAACCUCUUUUCUUAUAAGU